rnacentral:tmRNA from 2 species
GGGGGCGAACUGGGUUCGACCGGGUUGUCGAAGCGUGAGUGGCGUGUCGUGGUUGAUCGGUGGCCCACGUAAAAAGCCGAUUACACACCUUCAAUUGCCGAAGGUAACUACGCUUUGGCUGCCUAGUUAACGCUAGGCCAUAGCCAACGUACCCCCACGGGCCGCCGGAGCCUGUGGACGGAACGUAUAACCCCCUCCGGAUCGCUUGCGGGUCAACCCUCCGGGCACGCCCGCUGCUAACUGAAGUACUCGGAUAGUUUGUCGGUAGCCGUGUCAGGAAGGGCGCCCGAUAAGCAAAAUCAAAUCAACUGACUACACACGUAGAAGCUCCCGUGGAGCGAUCGCGGGACGCGGGUUCGAUUCCCGCCGCCUCCAC